CUUAGUAGCGGCGAGCGAAGCGGGAAGAGCCCAAGAUGAAAAGCCUGCUUGCAGGCGUUGUAUUUGGGCGUCCUUGGGGUGUCAGUGUGGGCAAGUCGUAUGGAAUUACGCACCGCGGAGGGUGAGAGUCCCGUCCAACCCACACAGGACACGCCGUACUAGGGCGUCUCAGUCGAGUCGGGUAGCUUGGGAAUGCUGCUCUAAUUGGUGGUAAAUCUCAUCAAAGGCUAAAUAGCGGCCGGAGACCGAUAGCGAACAAGUACCGUGAGGGAAAGAUGACAAGCACUUUGAAAAGAGGGUGAAAAGAACCUGAAACCGUCACGGGGGAAGCGGAUUGCGUUAGAUUGAUGGGUGCAUGCGUGUUCAGCCUUUUUUUAAGGUGCAUUGGCGCGUGGGCUCUUCCGCCGUGGGCUUCCGGUGGUCGAUUUUGGACUGCUGGGGGCUGAGGGCUCCCUCUUGUAGGUGAGGACGGUGGAGUGAUGACGCGAUACGACCCGUCUUGAAACACGGACCAAGGAGUCUAGCACGGGUGCGAGUCGAAGGGUGGAAAACCUGAUGGCGCAGUGAAAGCGAGUUUGAAAAACGAGCAGUUUGAGGCGGCAUGCGAUCAUUGAUCUCAAGACCGACCUAGAGCAGUUGUGCUGGGACCCGAAAGAUGGUGAACUAUGCCGGAGUAGGGCAAAGCCAGAGGAAACUCUGGUGGAGGCUCGUAGCGGUGCUGACGUGCAAAUCGCUCGUCCAACUUGGGUAUAGGGGCGAAAGACUAAUCGAACCAUCUAGUAGCUGGUUCCCUCCGAAGUUUCUCUCAGGAUAGCGGGCCGACAUGUGUUGUUUUGUGCGGUAAAGCGAAUGAUUAGCGCAUUCGGGGGCAAUUAGCCUUUGGGCGAUUCUCAAACUUUCAAUGCGCAAGGGUGCCGCUGCUUAAUUGAGCGGCACCGGUAAAAACGUCGGCCCUGUGGGCCACUUUUGGUAAGCAGAACUGGCGAUACGGGAUGAACCGUAAGCGUGGUUAAGGCGCCGGACUACCCGCUUAUAGAUCCCACAAAAGGUGUUGAUUCAUCGAGACAGCAGGACGGUGGCCAUGGAAGUCGGAAUCCGCUAAGGAGUGUGUAACAACUCACCUGCCGAAUGAAUUAGCCCUGAAAAUGGAUGGCGCUCAAGCGGGUGGCCGACACCACGCCGUCUGGCAAAGAUAAUUAUUUUUUGUGUGCUAGAUGAGUAGGAGGGCGUGGCGGCCGUGUCGAAGCAUGCGUGCAGACGCGUGUGGAACGGCCGCUAGUGCAGAUCUUGGUGGUAGUAGCAAGUAUUCAAGCGAGAUCCUUGAAGGGCGAAGCGGGGAAGGGUUCCACGCGAACAUUGAUUGGGCGUGGGUGAGUCGUUCCUAAGCCGAGUGGCAAUUGCUAAGUAUCGGCGAAAGGGAAGCGGGUUGACAUUCCCGCACACGGAUGUGGAGGCGGUGACGCAGAAUGCGGCGAACACGCUGGCGACGGCGCUGGGCAGAGUUGUCUUUUCUGUUUGACCUACUCAGCGCGCGGUGUGGAAUCCGCUUGUCGGGAGAAACACGCGUGCCGGGGCAGAGCGCCGGGCCUUUUCCGGCGUCCAGCUCGCCGUCGACGGCCCUUGAAACUUUGCCUGCUGAAACUUUUAUAGUUAAGAUCCACGCCGUGGCGUACCGAUCACCGCAUCAGGUCCCCAAGGUGAACAGCCUCUGCUCAAUAUGAACAAUGCAGGUAAGGGAAGUCGGCAAAUUAGACCCGUAACUUUGGGAUAAGGGUUGGCUCUAGUGCUGCGUGGGAGUGGUUGCCUAGUGUCGGGGCUUGGCUGGAGACUGGCGAGGCGCGGGGCCCGAAAGGGACCUGUUCCGCGCUGUUUCUGGCUAGGUUUCCGCGCCGGGCGACGCCCACAGCAUGCAGCAGACUAGAACUGCAACGGGCAAAGGGAAUCCGACUGUUUAAUUAAAACAAAGCAUUGCGAGGGCCGUGGCCGGUGAUGACGCAAUGUGAUUUCUGCUCAGUGCUCUGAAUGUCAAAGUGAAGAGAUUCAAUCAAGCGCGGGUAAACAGCGGGAGUAACUAUGACUCUCUUAAGGUAGCCAAAUGCCUCGUCAUCUAAUUAGUGACGCGCAUGAAUGGAUUAACGAGAUUCCUACUGUCCCUAUCUGCUUCUAGCGAAACCACAGCCGAGGGAACGGGCUCGGCGAAAUCGGCGGGGAAAGAAGACCCUGUUGAGCUUGACUCUAUUCUAAUUUUGUGAAGCAAGUUGGGAGGUGUAGCAUAGGUGGGAGCGUUUCGGCGCGUCCGUGAAAUACCACUACUCCCAGUCUUGCUUUACUUACUGGGUUGGUGUGGAUGAGCUUUACGGCUCUGUUCUGGAAUCAAGACAACCUUUGGUUGUCGACCACAGCCCAGCACACAUUUAGGAGGGGAGUUUGGCUGGGGCGGCACAUCUUCUACAAGACAACGAAGGUGUCCAAAGAUAAGCUCAGUGAGAACAGAAAUCUCACGUAGCGCAAAAGGGUAAAAGCUUGUUUGAUUUCGAUUUUCAGUGCGAGUCGAAAACGCGAAAGCGUGGCCUAUCGAUCCUUUCACGAUUCGAGAUUUGAAGCGAGAGGUGUCAGAAAAGUUACCACAGGGAUAACUGGCUUGUGGCGGCCAAGCGU
rnacentral:rRNA from 1 species